UCGUCACCGAAUCAUACAAGAAAAAGAAAAGAAAGGACCGAGAGAGAGCAACCAAGAAACUUCCAUGGAACCGUGACUUUUAACUCCAAUUUUCUUAUGAUCCGUAACUCCAAUAAAAAAUCUAAUCCGGUAAAAAUGUUCGUAUUCUCAUCCUCUACACGUUGGCGUUAUUUUUGUCCGGUAAAAAUUGAUGGUGACGUAGCUCCUCUUUUCUUUGAGUUCAGUGCUUGCAAGUACUUGCAGAGGUCAUGUUCGGCAUACUUCAGCUGGAGAAUCAGCGCCUGCAAGAAGUAGAAACUUGCAGAGGUUAUACCGCUGGAAUGCCUUAUCUGACUUGCGAGUCGGAUUGCGUCAGUGACACAGGUUCGAAGAUUCAGUUUGAAGUCGCGGGCGAAUAUUAGCCUUAUUUGAGUUAAAUUUAUGUGUUGAGUUGCUUUCAUAGAAUUCCCUCGCCCUUAUUGUUUAAGAUUUUAUUCUAUAUAGAGGGAUAGGAGUUGUAACUGAGUUUUAUUUGAAUUCUGUUGUAUGAUAUUUAUUAUUAUUAAUAACUAUGUGAUUAGUAUUGCUUGAGGAUCU